rnacentral:rRNA from 1 species
GAUGAACGCUGGCGGCGUGCUUAACACAUGCAAGUCGAACGAAGCACUUUUGAUUGAUUUCUUCGGAAAGAGAGAGACUGUGACUGAGUGGCGGACGGGUGAGUAACGCGUGGGUAACCUGCCUCAUACAGGGGGAUAACAGUUAGAAAUGACUGCUAAUACCGCAUAAGCACACAGCUUCGCAUGAAGCAGUGUGAAAAACUCCGGUGGUAUGAGAUGGACCCGCGUCUGAUUAGGUAGUUGGUGGGGUAACGGCUCACCAAGCCGACGAUCAGUAGCCGACCUGAGAGGGUGACCGGCCACAUUGGGACUGAGACACGGCCCAAACUCCUACGGGAGGCAGCAGUGGGGAAUAUUGCACAAUGGGGGAAACCCUGAUGCAGCGACGCCGCGUGAAGGAUGAAGUAUUUCGGUAUGUAAACUUC